AUUGAACAUUGAACUAUCGUUCAAUAUUUUUGGAAACGUACUUUUUUUGCUUUCUGUCCAUGGGUGAUGUAGAGCAUUGUGGAUAUGGAUGUGCUUCACGUUAGAGAUAACGCAUAGCGAGUGUUAAGUCAAGUCCAAAGAAUAAUCAUUUGACAAAUAAAUAUUGAUUUAAAAAAAGAUUUGAUUGGUUUUAAAAAUGACUUUGGAGCGUCAUUGAGAAACGUAACGUAACACAAUAAUGAUUUUAUCUCGACUAUCGGUUUUUCAUAAACGUUGGAAGCCAAAAUCGUUAUUGAAAUGAAAUAAAAUAAAAUAGAUUAAUGGCCCAGCCCUAGAAUGCAGGUAACUUGUUAUACAUCUUCCCUUCUCUCUGCUUUCUCUGUCGGUCAGACGGGGACAUGGUGAGUUCAUGGCUGGGCUCACAGUAUUGAAUCAACACCAAUGACAUCAAGACUCUGAAUCAAAUGGAGUCAUCAGAUUCCCAAACAUUCCCAUCCCGACUAACCACGUCCUGGCUCAUGUUUGAGAAGCGGUUUGUAAUAUUUAGGGUGAAUAGCUUAAGAGAUGAAUAUAAGACCGAGAUGGUGGGUGAUUGUAGAGCAUCCUCUGUCCCACCGACUGUAUUUUACUGUGAGAGAGCAGCUCAGCACCACCGUGGUAAAGUGUCACGUCAAGUCUACAUACUAAAACCGAGCCAGGUCCCUUACUGGAACCCUGGACGUGGGCUGUGGUCUGGAGCUCUGCUGCCAGCCAGCGCCCCCUGUCCUAGUGUGUCAGGACAUGACAUGUAUCUCCACCAAAGGUAACGCUGUAACCUGUAAUGACCUGACGGCAGUAUCACAACUAACUCACCCAUCUGUCUGCAGAUCCCUCCUGUUGCCAACAUGCUGCCGAGUUCUCACCUUGCAAAGAAGCUUGUGACCAGCUCGCCACUAUAAAGAGUGAGUCUCGUCUAAAGCAUCUGCUCCAGAGGUUACCCAGUUACUGUCCGGAGUUGAUGAAUGAACUUUGGACGUGCAUCAACUCUUCACUCCCAGGAGUAUCCAGGAAGUCGGACGGCUGGGUGGGGCUGGGCUGCUGCGAGCUGGCCAUCUCAGCUGAGUGUCGCAGGGAAUGCAGACAGGCAUCAUCUAAAAAUGACAUAACUAAAGUAUGCAAAAAAGUCACAGAGAACUCCCUCUACAGCUGCAUCACCAAAAAUGAAA